UACGCUGGCGGCACGCCUAAACAUGCAAGUCGAACGAAGUAGCAAUACUUAGUGGCAGACGGGUGAGUAACAUGUGGGUAUCUGCCCUUUGGCCUGGAAUAACACGAGGAAACUUGUGCUAAUACCGGAUAAGUCUUUACGGAGAAAGCUUUAUGCACCAUUGGAUGAGCCCGCACUUGAUUAGUUUGUUGGUGGGGUAAUGGCCUACCAAGACUUUGAUCAAUAGCUGAUUUGAGAGGAUGAUCAGCCACAUUGGGACUGAGACACGGCCCAAACUCCUACGGGAGGCAGCAGUGGGGAAUCUUGCACAAUGGAGGAAACUCUGAUGCAGCGAUGCCGCGUGAGUGAAGAAGGCCCUUGGGUUGUAAAGCUCUUUCGUCGGGGAAGA
rnacentral:rRNA from 1 species